rnacentral:lncRNA from 1 species
AAUAAGUAUUUGGAUGAUGUUGGUAACUUUUGGGGAAUUCAGGGUCUAUAAGUUGGUUCGCCUGGCGAUGCCGACAUCCGGCUGGCGUGUUUGUCAUUUCGGCAACCGCAGCUGUUCGUCACUUAAAUCUCGUCUUUUGUUGAGUCAACAAGUCUCCAGUGGCCAUUGGAAGAAUUUACCUUUUGGUUGAAAUAUUUUAGUAGAAGAUUAGUUUAUGUUGGAAGGAGUUAUUUUGUUUUGGGUUUUGUGGAGUGUUUUGAGGAGAAGAGUUUUUGGUUUCCAAUACUUUUUUGAAGAACAAUGGCCACUGGAGAAAAGAAGAUUAAGUCACCUUUUUAUUUUUUGGAAAUGGAAUAAUCAAUCAUUUUGGGGUUUCUUUUGGUGGAUCGGGAUUAUUUUCUGUUUGUUGUUUUGGAAUCGACAUUGAUUUUUACCAGUACUUGUAAGCACCUCCUCGUCUGACAUCCGCAUUGUGGUCGAGUAUCUCCCUAGGAUUGGAAAACCGGAGGAUACCUAUCUGGCUCUCCCAUCAUCAACCUCUCCAGGAGUUUGGAGAAACCAUAGUCCCUACUUUUGUAGAAGCGACAGGUUUUUUAUAAAAUUUACAUUUUCAAUUCUUUUAAAUAAUUUCUUGCAAUUUUAAUAUUUUUUUUUCAGUAACUUAUAAUAACAUUAAUAAUCAUAUAAAUUCAUUUUUCUAAAAUCAACUAACUUUAUAAUAUUCAAUAAUUUUUUUCCAACAAAUUUUAUCUUUUACUGUUCAUAUCAUUCUUUUAAAAUAGUCCGGGAGUUAUAAGCUAUAUGUUAAGAUGGUGUAUACAAUAUCUAGGGUUAUAAUUCCUAUUUAAUAACCUUUAUUUCAGUUAACAGGUAUUGUACUCAGGUUUAUCGCUUUAGGUCAGAUACUGGAUUGUCAGCCAAUACUGUGAUCAAUAUCAAUAUAAUAUUUUUGCUUAGGUAGAUAACUUGUGAUUCGAAAUAACUGUCUUGGUAUAAUUAAUUAAAUUUUUGUUUUUAUUCUUUUGUACUGUAAAUCUAAGUGUCGAUAAGAGCGUAUCCUUCUAGUACGUCAGGAAUUAGCUAGUUUGUAUAAAAUUGUAUAUAGGGGUUAUAGGUAUUUUUUUUCAUUAAAUUUGUUGGUUGUA